CAGGCUUAACACAUUGCAAGUCGAGGGGCAGCAUUUUAGUUUGCUUGCAAACUAAAGAUGGCGACCGGCGCACGGGUGAGUAACACGUAUCCAACCUGCCGAUAACUCGGGGAUAGCCUUUCGAAAGAAAGAUUAAUAUCCGAUGGUAUAUUAAAACCGCAUGGUUUUACUAUUAAAGAAUUUCGGUUAUCGAUGGGGAUGCGUUCCAUUAGUUUGUUGGCGGGGUAACGGCCCACCAAGACUACGAUGGAUAGGGGUUCUGAGAGGAAGGUCCCCCACAUUGGAACUGAGACACGGUCCAAACUCCUACGGGAGGCAGCAGUGAGGAAUAUUGGUCAAUGGACGAGAGUCUGAACCAGCCAAGUAGCGUGAAGGAUGACUGCCCUAUGGGUUGUAAACUUCUUUUAUAUGGGAAUAAAGUAUUCCACGUGUGGGAUUUUGUAUGUACCAUAUGAAUAAGGAUCGGCUAACUCCGUGCCAGCAGCCGCGGUAAUACGGAGGAUCCGAGCGUUAUCCGGAUUUAUUGGGUUUAAAGGGAGCGUAGGUGGAUUGUUAAGUCAGUUGUGAAAGUUUGCGGCUCAACCGUAAAAUUGCAGUUGAAACUGGCAGUCUUGAGUACAGUAGAGGUGGGCGGAAUUCGUGGUGUAGCGGUGAAAUGCUUAGAUAUCACGAAGAA
rnacentral:rRNA from 1 species